rnacentral:rRNA from 1 species
UGGAGCAUGUGGUUUAAUUCGACGCAACGCGAAGAACCUUACUACCCUUGACAUGUCCGGAACUUGCCAGAGAUGGCUUGGUGCCCGAAAGGGAAUCGGAACACAGGUGCUGCAUGGCUGUCGUCAGCUCGUGUCGUGAGAUGUUGGGUUAAGUCCCGCAACGAGCGCAACCCUUAUCAUUAGUUGCUACGCAAGGGCACUCUAAUGAGACUGCCGGUGACAAACCGGAGGAAGGUGGGGAUGACGUCAAGUCCUCAUGGCCCUUAUGGGUAGGGCUUCACACGUCAUACAAUGGUCGGUACAGAGGGUUGCCAAGCCGCGAGGCGGAGCCAAUCCCACAAAGCCGAUCGUAGUCCGGAUUGUUCUCUGCAACUCGAGAGCAUGAAGUCGGAAUCGCUAGUAAUCGCAGGUCAGCAUACUGCGGUGAAUACGUUCCCGGGUCUU